AGAAAACAUUAAUUGCAAAACAGUAAAUGAUUAUAGUAGGACAGAGUGAGACACGUGUCACAAGGCACACGGCAAGCCUUGUCUCCUCUGGCAUAUUAUUCCAAAGUCGUGAGACCCUAAUGACAAAAGCACAGCCCUCUGUAGAUUGAUUGAUUUAUAUUUUAUUUUAUUUUAUUUUAUUUUAUUUUAUUUUAUCGAUUUUGGAACAGGAACUUAUGGAGCUUUGAAGUGGUCGAAGCAGCAUUUAUUUAUAUGUUUAUUUUUGCCUUUGCACAGAGCCAGACAAGCUGUUUGCAUUUUCUUUAUGCGCAGCACUUGGGACAGAGAAAGAGACACUGUUCCUUCUGAGUCAGUGCUUAUGCAGAGCUACAAACACUAAAUAUUCUCCUCCAAACAGCCAACUUCCUUCCAAAGAAUAAUACUGUGCAAAACUCUUAAGCCACGCCUAAUUUCUUUGGAUUUUUCUUCCAAGGAACCAGAGUAUUUUCAGAGGAAUUUGUUUCUUAAGCCUCGUAACACCGAUCUAUGAAUCAUUCGUUAGCUGAUACUAUGAAGUUAAAAAUAUGAAAGCAGAUAAUUCCUAUAAAGAGCGGAGUUCAAAUCCACCGUCAACGGGAUAAACUGAGCUGAUGAGUGACGUUAAAAUAUUUUCAUGUGGCAUGGAUUCAUGGCUUUGCUUAUUCUUUGUAUGCAGUCACUCCGCGUGGAACAUUUGCUUCCCAUUUGGUCUGAACAUAGCACAUGCGGGUGGGGUACCUAUCUGAUUCUCUUACUCACCCAUUCAUUCAUGAACUCCUACAAUACACCUGCCAAGUUUGAAGCUAAUCAGUGAAUGGUUAUUAAGAAAAAUGCACAAGAACACAUACACAUGCACACCCUCUCAUACAUAUGCAAAGAUUUUUUCACUUUUCAGUGAAAUUUGCUAAAAUUACUAAAUAAGCGUCUCUCUUAAACUGUAACAGUUCCCAUGAUUCUUUGACUAAUUUAGACAUGGAUCACCAAAGUUCUGUUGUAUUGCCUACACGUGCAAGUGAUAUAGUGCUGUCUUGGUAGAUGAGGGCACCGUGAUUUCAGCUUUCUUUUAAUUUUCUGAAGUUUUACUUCUUUUGGCAUAGGAAGCAAGAG
ensembl:lncRNA